UAUACGUCAUGGGGUCUUACUGUGGAGUGAUGAGAGGUAGAAGGAAUUGAAGGGGAUGGGGAAAAGAGGAAGAGGGAAGAAUAAUGGAGUUAAAUGUAGUGGCCCUGUCCUUGUGCUUUGGUAGUCGCAGUUUUAAAUGCAGUGUACAGAGAGAAAGAGAGAGAGACACACACCAUCCCCUUUCUCCUUCCUCCUUAAAUUUCCCCCAAGACAUUCCCAUCCUUCUCGUUCUCCUCUAUUCAUUCAUCCUCUUUGUUUUUCUGCCUCUUUAGGGUUUCUACCCUCUCUUCCAAAUAAAUUGGGAUCGACUAUAUGAAUUCUUAAUGGACGGCGGCGACACACACAGCCACUCUACCACCGAAGAACUAACGUUUCAUCUCUUGUUUAUAUGCAGCCUUUUAGUAAUUAACGAUCACCUCGUUAGAUUAAGGGUUUUCUUCCACAAACAAAAAGAGAUCGAGGUGUGUGUUUUUGUUCUCGCAUGAAACAGUAACUUUGAUAUUGGCCUGGUUCACUCAGACUAAAAAAUGAAACUAUUUGAAUGGAGUCUAGUUUCUGUUUGAUCGAUCUGUUUCCGUUUGAUUGAGCCGUGCCAAUAUCUUAGUUUCUCUUUCACUAUAGCCCCUUGUAUGUCUGCCUGACAUAAUCACCUAACAGGUCUAUCUCACUUUGAAGUCCAAACACACGUCACGUGUCAAGUGACGUGAUAUCUCAGUCAUCAAAUUAAAGAUCAACAAGACGAGGCCAUUCAUUCAAAGAAUGUGGCAAGUCAAGUCAAGUUCAACAGCCAAUGAAACAUCGCCAAGUGUUCCAAAUAACAUAUUUGUGGCCAAUCACAAGCAAUUUUAUCACACAAUAUUUGUGAUAAAUUUGAGAACUGAAUGGAGCACUCGGAAUGAGGCAGGAGAAGUUAUUUACACUUAGACUACCUACCCCCUACAACUAUAAAUAGGAGAGUUGCAUGAUUUUCUGAGGUCAUUCUGUAAGCAUUGGAGAAAGCAUAUAUAUCAACUACACAGUUCUUCAAAAGAGUUGUCAGCGAAAUCUUGCCCAGAGAUCAACUAGAUAAGACGAACUGUUAUUCGAUAUUCCUAGAGAUCCAAACAUUAUUAGAGAUCAACUUGAUAAGAAGAAUUGUUGUCCGACAUUCCUGGAGAUCCAAACACAUUUGUAGGAGGUUCAAAUCAUCCUAUAUUCGACAAACACGCUACAGAAGGUCCUCGAAUUACGGAAAAAGUUUAGGAGAGAAGAAUCAAGAGAACAACAAAAUUGUACUCACAAGAUUCAUAUAAAUAAAAUUAUAAUUUUCAUUUUUUUA